GCACGGCCCCGCACAGUGAGCUGCCGGCAUCUGUGCGCGGCCGCUUUGCGGGGUGUACGCGCAUUUUAGGACUGAUGGGCGUCCGGAGGGGGGAGCGGGACGUACUGGACUCCCACUCCGAGCUUCCAGAAUAUCCUUAACAACACCAGAAGAAUGGAUGUCAUGGAUGUUCUUCAGAAGGUUUGCAACAGUGCAGCCACACAUUUUUUGCCACUUGUCAGACUAAUUCAAUAGCAAAAUCUGAGCAACAAAAAUCUGAUCUGGCCUGUAUCUUCAGAAACAUCCUGAAAUGCAGUCAACUGAUUUUUAUUUAAAGGUGUGACUACAGAACUAAGAGGAGGAUCUCUCACCUGGUUCCAGUUCCAUGGAAUAACAGCAUAUUUAAACAGAUGAAUGGUCCAGGAAGGAAAAAGAUGAAAACUACCAUUUCAGACUAUUUUCAAGGGUCUGCAACCAGGAUCACAGAAGGAGCUGAAACUUCACCCCUUUGUCACAAGCUAAACCAGACAUUAUUUUAAAUUGCCAUUGUAUUAAGAACUAAAGCAAGACACUGAGAUACAACACUCCUUGAGAGUUCCUAUGUGACUGAAACACUAGAUGAUCAAUUAAAAGUCAUGUUUAUCAAGCCUCUGCUUACUGCUCUUACCUGGUAAUUGAGGACAUUCUGAAAAAAAGAAUUCAUACUUUUUUUUCAAACCUAGCUUUUUAAUAUCAUCUCACUUCAGAGGGCAUUUAUAUAUUACUUUUUCACACUACAAAUGCUUUACAAAGAUGAGUCACUACUGCUAACACUGUUCUGGACCUUUGAAAACUCAAAUGACAAACAAGUGUUCCAACUAACUUGUCUAAAGUUGCAGAAAAAGGCCAUAGAUCAUGUGCCUGUCUCUUUUCCCUCUUGAGUUAUAAGCACAAUUUCAUGUUGAACUUACAGAGACUGGUCUUAGAUUCCCUUUCUCCCACCUUCCUGUUAAAACUCUGAGAGAACCAGAACAUCAUUAACGUAUUUGUCUUUGGCAGGUGUCUAGUCAGGGAUUUGCAGUAACAGGUCAAUUACAGUCAGUUGAGAAGAGGGUAAAUCAGUAGUCCAAAAGAAACUUAGUGGCGAGGAACCCAAACCUUCACUGCUACUGUGCAUUCUGUGAGCUAUUCUGGAACUACAGCUUAACUCUCCUUUCUUUUAAGCUAAAUUACCUUUUUUCAUAUUGAUCCUAGAAAACUGCCAAGUGGCAAAUAGUAUAUAUGGAACAAAAAUCGCAGUAUAUUAUAUAUAUACAUAUAUAUAUAUAUAUAUGAUAUAUAGGAUACAAAUCAGUUCUUAUUGCAUACUACAUAUGAUUACACAGCCAAUAUUAGUGAACCUAUGUUUUUUCAUUAUUUUUACUACAAAAAGCACAAUGGCAAGCUGAAGACUGAUUUUAAGUAAGUACCAAUAUCUCUGAUUGCAAGAAAAGAAAACUGGCAAAUAAUGAAUAGUCAACUAAAGUUUCAUGAUUAUUCUACUGCUGUCUAAGUACUGCUGACUAAAAUUCCAAUUAGAUAAUUUGUUUUGGCUUUUAUAGUUUUGUUUACACAUUGACUUCAUACUGGCUCUUAUCUUAGGAUUUGAAAUAGUUUAUUAAAGAUAAGUAGGAAGAAUCCCCUGGAAAAAAAUGUUGUGGUUUGUGGGUUUUUUCUUAAUUUAUUUUGCAUUUUUAAGCUCUGGGUAGUCCCACUUGUGAAUUACUAAACUACAGCUAUGCCCCUUCUAAGGAACAACCACCUUCUUGUGACAAAGGUUCCCUUAUAUAUAAUUUGCAUAGAAAUUUUAAAUCCUCCCGGGAAGGCUGAAAGUCGUCCCUUUUCUGAACCACUUGAUAUGAAAUUUGAUAGCAAAGACACAUGAAUUUUUUGUAUAUGCCAGAGUGUCCAGUAUCACUAAUGGGAAGGGAUUUUUCAAUAAAUUACAGGCAGAAGUUGUUUUUGAGAAUGGAGAAAUUUUAUUAAAGAUACAAGAGUCACAGAUGGAUCAAAUAAUGAUGUUACAGGAACAAAUUAAGGAAACAGAUUUAUUGGAAGCAGCGAACAAUGCAGACAUGC